rnacentral:rRNA from 1 species
GGAAAGUAGGUGCCGAGUGCCGCGGGAGGAUGUAGGGGGGUAGCGUUGGCCGGAUUGAGUGGGCGGAAAGGGCUGGUAGGCGGCCAGGGAGGUUUGGGGUUAAAACUCGAGGCGUAACCUCGAUAUGUCAUCUGAUAACAUUUUGCUAGAGGCCGGAAGAGGAAAGUGGAAUGCCUGGUGUAGCGGUGAAAUGCGCAGAUAUCAGGAAGAACACCAAUGGCGAAAGCAGCUUGCUGGGACGGUACUGACGCUGAGACGCGAAAGCGUGGGGAGCGAACAGGAUUAGAUACCCUAGUAGUC